rnacentral:rRNA from 1 species
UACGGGGGGGGCAAGCGUUGUUCGGAAUUACUGGGCGUAAAGGGCUCGUAGGCGGCCAACUAAGUCCGACGUGAAAUCCCCAGGCUUAACCUGGGAACUGCGUCGGAUACUGGUUGGCUUGAAUCCGGGAGAGGGGUGCGGAAUUCCAGGUGUAGCGGUGAAAUGCGUAGAUAUCUGGAGGAACACCGGUGGCGAAGGCGGCAUCCUGGACCGGCAUUGACGCUGAACAGCGAAAGCCAGGGGAGCAAACGGG